CAGCCUUGGGCCGUGGUUUAGGAGGAUCAAAGACGGGGAGGGAUGUGGCUGCAAGUUACAGGGAAGAAAGAGCGGGGCAGCGGCCCCGAAAGAGAAACAGUUGCUGCUGAUCAGUUACAGGGGCUUGCCGCCUUGCCUUCCCCCUUAGAAACUGCCGGAAGGCCUCUGACCUUCUCUUCUCUCUUCGGUCUCCUGAGCUCCCUCCCAUGCUGCACGCCCCCACCUAUUGCCACAAGGCAGUUCUCCCCGCCAUCCCCAGCCCCACCCCCGGAGCAUCGCCAGAUUUAGGGCUCUGCGCCCGAGCACCAGGGCUGGCUGCUCGGGGGCUCGCUCUGCCAGCCCCGCCGCGGGCUCCGCAUUGCGGCGGUGCGGGCGCCGAACCUCCCAGCGCGCUUUCCCGGCUGCGAUCUGCAGUGCGGUGCCCGCCCCGCCGCCUCCCUGCCCCCGCACGCCCCCUGGAGCCCUGCGCCUAGCUGCUGCCGGCGGGUUGCAUAAGCCCCGCGCGCAGGGGCGCUGAAUUCAGCUUCCCGGUCAUCCAAACUCGUGGCCAGACGGUGAAAGCUGCGAUGCUGCUGGACCGUCCUCCCCUCUGCAGCUGUCAAAGAGCCGCGCCCCGAGGCAACAAAUCCAGACGCGGCAAAUACCCUGUGACAGAUGAGAGAAUAUUUGCUCCUUGAGGAGAGGCGAGGAAGAGGGACAUCUCUUCAUGAACAGCCCCAAAACAAGUAAACAUUGUUAUAAUUUCAGAUCUGAAAACAGGAAAGCCCCGGUGCAGGGACUUCACAAAAGGGUCAGCAUAGAACAGAUGCAUCCAUCAUCUGAGUCACUGGGCUGGAUGCUGGUGAAGAUAAAAAAAAAAUCAUUAACACAGAGACGCCGCCUUUGAGUGAUAGUGUAGUGCAGAAGAUCAAACAUAUACGCGGCACGUUUCUGGUUUGUCGGGCAUAAUCUUGGUAACCUACGUGCGUCUGCAUUUUCUCCUUGUUACCUGUGUCUCCUUUCUUUGCUUCUGUACGUGAGCUUGAGGGGUGUUUGGUGGCAGGAUGGAGUGCUAAUUUCAUUGAGGAAGACGUAUCAGUGAGGAUCUGAGCCCAUUCCUAGAAAGGCCUACAGACACUUGUGAAAAGGACUCUGGUCCCUCAGGACAAGACAAUCCCUGCAUGGCAAGUGCUAGGUGAACACCAUGGAGUCUUAAAGGGAAAAGAGGGGAGAUGGACUCUGGAGGGACAAGGAGAGGUCUUUUGCAGGAAGUGAGGGCGAACCGGGUCUUGCGAUGAGCAGGAGGAUGGCUCUUCCAGAAAAGACCACGCUAUACAGACAGAGCUUGGGCCUUGGAAGAAGUUCUGGGACCCCAGAUGGGGCACAAAAGCAGCGGCGUGAUUCCAUUGCCGGGGAUUAGAGGAGACAAUCACGUGGACACAAGUGGGGGGAUGUCCCAAUGGUGGCUGCAUGGAACAGCGGAUGCCCGUGUGAACCGAGCACUGGAUGGACCCUUGCUCCCAUGCGAUGGCUUUCCCAUAUCUCUUCAAGCUAGACUAAACCCUAGGAUGAUAAUGGUAGUGGGGAGAGAAGACUCCAAGUUGGCUGAGAAGACACUGCCCCAUCCUAGCAAAACAUGGCUUGAAAUUAACAUUGGAGAGAGAUUUGGAAAGCAAAGAAAACUAGGUUUCUCGUACACUUCUGUUUGUAGACUGAAAUGUACACUUGCUAUUUGUGUCUCCGUGAUGAUCUCAAAGAUGACAAACUCACUAACUGUUCAUGCCGCUGGCUUGGGAAGGGGGCAGGGGACACGCUUGUCUCCAGGGCCCAUCAUCAGUCCUGUGGUACAUGUGACGUAAGAGAUUGACUUGCAAAGCGGGGGUUGCGCAACAGAACAACGUGGGUCUGGAUGCUUUCCUACCAUCAAACUUACCAUUUGCCUCGGUUCCUCCUGAACCCGAUGGACAGUUUUCCCCGCGGUGCUAAAUUUGACAUUUCAGUCCCCUCAUAAGCGUAAAAGUGGAGGUGUCAGAGCAAACAAAAGAUUUCUUUUAAUGAUGGAAUUCAGUGUGUAUUACACCGGUCAGCAUACAUGUUGCUUUGUUUCACGGAGCCUGUGGGUAUCGUGUAUAUAACUACACAUUUCCAAAAAUAAAUACAUAUUCUAAGAAGA